rnacentral:ncRNA from 3 species
AAAACUUUCAACAACGGAUCUCUUGGUUCUG